rnacentral:rRNA from 1 species
AUAUACUUAAGUUUUGCGGUUGGCCAUGCAUAUCAUUAAGCGGAGGAAAAGAAACCAACAGGGAUUGCCUCAGUAACGGCGAGUGAAGCGGCAAAAGCUCAAAUUUGAAACCCUCGGGAUUGUAAUUUGAAGAUUUGGCAUUGGAGAAAGCUAACCCAAGUUGCUUGGAAUAGUACGUCAUAGAGGGUGACAACCCCGUCUGGCUAACCGUUCUCCAUGUAUUGCCUUAUCAAAGAGUCGAGUUGUUUGGGAAUGCAGCUCAAAGUGGGUGGUAAACUCCAUCUAAAGCUAAAUACUGGUGAGAGACCGAUAGCGAACAAGUACUGUGAAGGAAAGGUGAAAAGAACUUUGAAAAGAGAGUGAAAUAGUAUGUGAAAUUGUUGAUAGGGAAGGAAAUGAGUGGAGAGUGGCCGAGGUUUCAGCCGCCCCUCGUGGGCGGUGUACUGCCGACGCCGAGUCAUCGAUAGCGA